UAAAUUGUUCAGCAUGAUAUCAGAUGGUAUGAAAUACCCCUUUGGCCAGUUUGGGUCAGCUGUUUUGGGUCUGCAGAACACAGGCAGUUCUUCCAUAACAUGCAAAUGAAACAGUGUCCCCAUCAAGUACUCUAGGAUACUGGAAAUCAUAAGUGAAAACUGAAAUCAGAUGCUCUCCCUGCAUCUUCUAUACCAGCAUUUUGCCUUCCGUACCCAUACUUUCUUUCACAAAUGCUUGUUUUGCUGCAAAAUGGCUAUAAUCACACCACAUUUUGCCAUGUGCUGGAGCAUUACCUGGGCCCUCGCAACCCCCAGCAAAGCAGCCGUAUCUCCUAUCAAGUACACUGCUGCUUCCCUCAGGGCUGCUGUGGCCUCUGUGGUCUGUCAGGACUGUCCCGGCCCCCCUCAGGGCCACUGGGGCCUGUUAGGAACAUCCCUGUCCACCUCGGGGCCCUUGGUGCCUGUCAGGAAUGUCCCUGCUCCACUCAGAGCCGCUGCAGCAGUCUGGCCUGAGCCAUCGGUGCAGUGAGUGCAGCAGCAGGGGAAAGGCUGGGCAGGCCAGGGCUGGGGCACAAAAGCUGGCUGCCCGAGGGCUUGCAAAGCCUGCAGCGAGGGCCCAGCUGCUCAGGGCAGGGCUCGCGGCUGUUGCCACUGGCGCUGGCCACAGUCCCUGCUGCCAGGGACACUUGCUGCCACCAUCCCCUUGGAAGUGUGGCACGAGACGGAUUUUCUGCUUCGGCUGGAUGAUAUCAUUCGGUACCUGCGCUGCUGUGUGGAAGAGAAAUGCCUCAACCACUUCUUCUUUGACAAUGAGAUGUGAUUGUCCUGCCACCAGCCUUCCAAUUUUCUGGCCCAGUCAACCUCUUCCAUCACCUGAAGCGGAACCCAUAUGCCAAAGCUGAGGCACUGCAGAAGUUCGAGGUGGUGCGAGAUCGGCUCAAAAGACUGCUGAUCUAUGGACAUGAAAGAGACCUUCGCGCACAGCGAGAGCGCUCUGCUGCUGGCAGACGAUGAACUGCUAGCACUCUGUGGGGAGCCGGACCUCAUGCAGCUCCAGAGGCUGCUUCAUGGACGCUUGACGCAGAGACUCCUGAUACCAACUGGGCUUGGUUCUUGGACUGUCCAUUUCAUUGGGAGCUUUGGCCUCUGCAAAGAUUCCAAUAAAAGUCUUGCUUGAACAAACACUUUGUCUGUGAGUGUCCUCCUUGAGCCACUGGGGCCUGUCAGGAACGUUCCUGCUCCCUUCAGAGCCGUUGGGGCCUGUCAGGAACUUUCCCGCACCACUCAGGGCUGUUGGGGCUGUUGCUCCCCCCGUCCCCCUGUUGGGACUGCUACUCCCCCUGUCAGGGCUGCUCCCCCAGCCCCUCUCCACCACUGGCAUCCCCCAGUGUCGCUGCCUGGCCCUGAAUGGCGGUGCCUCAGCUCUUGCCACGGACUUUUCAAGAUCAGUCUGUGUUAACCAAGCAACUGAAAGAGCUGGAGGUCUGGAUAAGAGACAAGAACUGGCACUGGCCAGAUUCAUGAAGACAAUAAUGCAGUUUGCACAGCCCUCUGCACCCCAACAAUUAGCACCAUGAAUUUAGGCUUUGCCAGUAAUCCGCUUCAAAGCACGUUCAGUACAGCAGUUGGCUUACACUCCAAGGGGUUCCAGGCAACCUGGCCAUUUCUCGUCAGUGUCCACCAGGGCCGUGACUUGGACAUGCUUCAUAGAGGACCUGGUGGGAGAACUCCUGUGUGUCUUCUGAUUGCUCUUGUUGAUUACUUUCUUUCUGCUGCUGCAGCCAGCUAUCAGGGUGGGCAACGGUUUUCAAGGCUGGAGACCCCUCGAGGAUGAUGCUGCCCACCACCUGCUUGUGUCCUUGAAGCCUCCUGCUGGCCAGUCCUUCCACCUGGAGCUGGACACUGCAGGAAAGAUGCCCACAAGGAUCUUCUUGUGGAACUGCAGAGCAGCUUGUGGGAUAGGUGCUGUACUUCCUCCACUACUCUGAGGAUGAGCUCCAGCUGACGGAUGCCUUCAAUAGAACCAUCCUCAUUUAGGUGGUUUGGGCUGCAGCAAGGUGACUCAAACAUCUUCCUGAGCAGCCAGAAGGCAGAGGCCAGCUUUACCCCCAGCACGAGCUGGCCACAGAGCUGCAGUGUGGCAGAGAUGAAGUUCUUCAGGCACGUGGUCAGGCAUCCCUGACAUGACAGCUUCUCCGUCAGAUGUCUGCAACUCUUCACCCAUAUCCUGGUGCUCACGGGUAUUUCUGCAUAUGCCUUCAAGAAUCCUGUCAUGUACCUCCUACCACUGUCUAGCUAGUACAGGAGACUGGAUGAUAUCCUGCAGUACCUGUGCUGUUGUAUGGAGGAGAAAUACCUCAACCACUUCCUCUUAGGAAAUGAGACUUUGCCUGAGGAGAAGUUUGGGUGCAGCAAGGUGACUCAGACGUCUUCCUGUGCAUUUGGUCAAGGCUUCAACAAGCUGGCCGUGGGAGCAGCGGAAGACAGGGACAGCCCUGGCAUGAAGGGGACUUGAAUGUCUGAAGUCCCUUUUGAUUUCCACCCUGCCGCCCCAUUGCAGCCUUCCGAAUUGUUGGCAGGAUGAACUUGGGGCAGGAUAUAGCCCAGAUGCUGGCAGCUGUGAGUUGACUGCAGCCAUACAGAUGAGUCUUCCAGGUGGGACCAGACAUGUCCUUGGCAUUGGUGCUGGCAGCUAACCCAUGGGCAGUAUGCCACAGCUCGGUUACCCUAUUGCACCACCCUGCCUGCUUUCAGGGUGAAGCUGUGGGGUUCAGCUGCUCUCCCAGCCCCUGAGCACAAGUCUGAGGAGAGAGAAUGGGUGUUACCCAUAAGAACCCUCAAAAUCACACACCAAAACAGAGGAAAGAGAUGGGAAGAGGCACCUUUUUGAGACUGAUCUAGGCAGAGACUGGGAGAGGAAAAGUCAAAUCCAAGUUACUGUCAAAACAAUAAUAAAUGGUUGUAAUUUCUGAGAUUUAUGGCCACGAGAAGGUGUUGCACAUUUCUGAUGGCCUCUUCCUUGCACGCCGUGCUUCCUUGCCUGGCUCGGAGCUCUGUGAAGGCAGGGGAGGAAUUAACCUGUGUCCUCCCUGGCAGACAGGCAGGAGGCUGAAGCAUCCUAGAGACUCCCUGGGGAAAGAAUGCUGGACCUGCAGCAGCACAGCUACAGGUCUGAGCUGGUCCUGCAGCACACGGUGCAAGCUGCUAUUGCUCUGAUGCGUCUGAAUAAUUGCAGUGGCUGAUACAGAGGGUUGCUCUCUGCUGAGUGAUUCCAGAGCUGUUCAGUGGUGCCUGAGUGUAAGAACUGGACUCCACCCUCUAAAUCAGGAGCUCCGGAGACCCAGUCCCAACUCUCCCGUUGCCUCCGUGCACAGAGGUUUUGGCUGAACAAACACACCACUCUUCUCCAAGGUGUCAAGAUCGGAGCACCCUCUUCAUUUUGGCUAAAUACUCACUGACAGACAGAUCUUCAGCUCCCUCCUUGGCCCAAAACAUCUGCAUGUGUUUGUUUUGUGACUUUGAAGAGAAUGUAACAGGGCUUGUUUUAUUAACAGCUGAUGGACACUUCAAAGCAAAAAUGAUGUUGAGAAAUUAAUCAUUCUACACCUCCAAAGUGAGAUUUAUGGCUCCAAAACUAAUACAGAAAUGAACCAAAAGCUAAAUGCAUGAAUCAUUCUUUUAAAAUAAAGUCAAGUCUUC